UUAAAUGAAACCAAAACGGUAUAUCACUGUUAAUGAUAAAAUUGAAUUUAAUUCCAUUUAAA
rnacentral:tRNA from 1 species